rnacentral:rRNA from 1 species
GGGGAAUUUUGGACAAUGGGCGCAAGCCUGAUCCAGCCAUGCCGCGUGCAGGAUGAAGGCCUUCGGGUUGUAAACUGCUUUUGUACGGAACGAAAAGACUCUGGUUAAUACCUGGGGUCCAUGACGGUACCGUAAGAACAAGCACCGGCUAACUACGUGCCAGCAGCUGCGGUAAUACGUAGGGUGCGAGCGUUAAUCGGAAUUACUGGGCGUAAAGCGUGCGCAGGCGGUUAUAUAAGACAGAUGUGAAAUCCCCGGGCUCAACCUGGGAACUGCAUUGGUGGCUGUAUAGCUAGAGUACGGCAGAGGGGGAUGGAAUUCCGCGUGUAGCAGUGAGAUGCGAAGAUAUGAGGAGGAACACCGAUGGCGAAGGCAAUCCCCUGGGCCUGUACUGACGCUCAUGCACGAAAGCGUGGGGAGCAAAC